GCUGGAAAUUCUAAGGUCAAGGAGCUGCAUCUGCUGAGGACCUUUUUUUCUGUCUUGUACCAUGACAGAAGGCAUCACAGGAGGACCUGGACCUUUCAAGUGCUCACUGCCCUGGGGCUACUCCCACGACUUCAAGCAGAAUGUUUUUAGUGCAAACCUUCACUUGGACCUUAUGCGUUGAACAUUGCCCUACGGAUAUGAUAGAUGGAAAUUGGAAAACACAAGCUGUUGAUGAGUUUUUGGCCAGCAGCCUCUUGGUUACAGGUUCACCCAGUGACCUGGGCAAUUGAAAUGUCUCCAGACUUCAGGGCUCACUCCUUAUUAAGGACUCCAACAUCAGGUCCC
rnacentral:lncRNA from 10 species